rnacentral:rRNA from 1 species
UACGUAGGAGGCGAGCGUUGUCCGGAUUUAUUGGGCGUAAAGCGCACGUAGGCGGUUCGUUAAGUCGGAUGUGAAAGCCCUCGGCCUCAACUGAGGAAGUGCACCCGAAACUGGCGAGCUUGAGUACGAAAGAGGAUCGCGGAAUUCCCGGGUGUAGAGGUGAAAUUCGUAGAUAUCGGAAGGAACACCGGUGGCGAAGGCGGCGAUCGUGGGUCGAUACGUGACGCUGAGGUGCGAAAGCGUGGGGAGAAACAGG